AUUGAACGCUGGCGGCAGGCCUAACACAUGCAAGUCGAGCGAGCGGCGGACGGGUGAGUAAUGUAUGGGGACUGCCCGAUAGAGGGGGAUAACUACUGGAAACGGUUGCUAAUCCCGCAUACUCUCUGAUUACCCAUAUGGGAUUAGCUCGUGGGUAAGGUAAUGGCUUACCUAGGCGACGAUCCCUAGCUGGUCUGAGAGGAUGAUCAGCCACACUGGGACUGAGAAACGGCCCAGACUCCUACGGAGGCAGCAGUGGGGAAUAUUGCACAAUGGGCGAAAGCCUGAUGCAGCAAUGCCGCGUGUAUGAAGAAGGCCCUAGGGUUGUAAAGUACUGUCAGUCGGGAGGCGUUACCGAAAGAAGAAGCACCGGCUAACUCCGUGCCAGCAGCCGCGGUAAUAC
rnacentral:rRNA from 1 species